rnacentral:lncRNA from 1 species
GCAGCUCUUUUCUGCUUUCAUCUUUCCUCUCCCCACCACGCUCCCUUCCACUUCUGGGAUUUGUCUCUCUGUGGCACAGCUCAGCAGCAUCUGUGAAGUGGAAAUGAGCAUGCAGUAUCACAGAUCAAAAUGAGGCUCUUGGUAUGCGCAGGAAGUUACUUCCCUCCCAAACCCCCCUUCUCUCCGCUCCCCMCCCCGCCCGCCCGAAAUCCUGGAGUGCUGCCAAAGACCUGGUGAAUCAGACAGAAGGGAAAAAAGGGAGAGAGAGAGAGCCUCCAUACAGCAGAGGCUUUGUGGGGAUGUUGGUAUUUCUGUGGUUUAACAUAACUCCUGCCAAAGCAGUCUCAGUAGUAACAGCAAACAUGAGGGUGCUGGUGUGGGCAGAGCUCAGGUACCAGAUUUUAAACGAGCUGGCAGAAUGCAGCUCAGAAGUGGGGAAGAGAGGGAGAUCCUCCAUGGAUGGGAGCAGAAAGGUAGAAGACAGCCUUUGGUAAGCCCUGGGGUUAAGCCGCACUGGGAGCCUCAAGCGCUAGGGGUGGCCGCCUUCUACUCCCCAGGCUGUGGCGGGCUGACACCUGCUGUGACCUCCUCACCCCGCUCCCUUGGCCUGGCUCCUGGGUUCAGAUAUCCCGCCUUUGCCUAGCUGUGACUCCCACUGAUGUGGGUCACAGUUUUCCUUUAGGGACUAGAGUGAUGGCACCACUGUGGGUAUUGCAUCAUGAGGAUGACUCACUGCUCCCCAGCUUUGUGUGCAUAAUAAGCAAGAUCUGGGCUUCUCACUGUUCCCAUCUCCAGUCACCUUCAUUUUUGUGAGCCCAGAGAAAGCAGACAUGUGAGGGACGGCCACCCUUGAGAGAAUCCUGGUGAUGCGUGUUUGCCAGGCUUCUCUUCCACUGGGGUAGCAGUGGACACUAAAAUAAAG